rnacentral:rRNA from 1 species
GAGAUAGCUGGUUCUCCCCGAAAUAGCUUUAGGGCUAGCGUCGAGAGAAGAGUUGCGUGAAGGUAGAGCACUGAAUAUGUGAUGGCCCCAUCUCGGGGUACUGAGCAUAAUCAAACUGCGAAUGUCACGCCAACAUGCUCGGCAGUCAGACAGCGGGUGAUAAGGUCCGUUGUCAAGAGGGAAACAGCCCAGACCAUCAGCUAAGGUCCCAAAAUGUAUGCUAAGUGGAAAAGGAUGUGGAGAUGUACAGACAACUAGGAGGUUGGCUCAGAAGCAGCCAUCCUUUAAAGAGUGCGUAACAGCUCACUAGUCGAAUGACUCUGCGCCGAUAAUUUACCGGGGCUAAGCAUACUACCGAAGCUAUGGAUCCCAAGGGAUGGUAGGGGAGCGUUCCAUGAACGGAGAAGUACGACCGAAAGGACGUGUGGAGAUCAUGGAAGAGAGAAUGCCGGUGUGAGUAGCGGAACGUGGGUGAGAAUCCCACGCACCGAAAACCCAAGGUUUCCAGAGGAAGGUUCGUCCGCUCUGGGUAAGUCGGGACCUAAGGCGAGGCCGAAAGGCGUAGUCGAUGGACAACAGGUAGAGAUUCCUGUACCCGUAUAUAUGUGAAGGAAUGACGGAGAGAGGAAGCUGCAGCCAGCGGCUGGAAGAGCUGGUGCAAGCGAGAUAUCGGGAUGGCAGGCAAAUCCACCAUCCGAAACGAGAAGGCGUGAAGCGUACGGAAAGCUACGGCGAGUACGGAAGGCAGUGGAGGAACUUCCAAGAAAAGUUUCUAACGUUAAGUAUAUAUGGCCCGUACCGAAAAUGGACACACAUGGGUGAGGAGAGAAUCCUAAGGUGAGCGAGAGAACUAUAGCUAAGGAACUCUGCAAAAUGACUCCGUAACUUAGGGAGAAGGAGUGCUCAUAGAGAUAUGAGCCGCAGUGAAACGGCCCAAGCGACUGUUUACCAAAAACACAGCUCUCUGCUAAGCCGCAAGGCGAAGUAUAGGGGGUGACGCCUGCCCGGUGCUGGAAGGUUAAGGGGAGGGGUUAACGCAAGUGAAGCCCUGAACUGAAGCCCCAGUAAACGGCGGCCGUAACUAUAACGGUCCUAAGGUAGCGAAAUUCCUUGUCAGGUAAGUUCUGACCCGCACGAAAGGCGUAACGAUUUGGGCGCUGUCUCAGCUGUAGACUCGGUGAAGUCUUAGUACCUGUGAAGAUGCAGGUUACCCGCGACUAGACGGAAAGACCCCAUGGAGCUUCACUGCAGGUUGAUAUUGGGAUUUGAUGCAGCAUGUACAGGAUAGGUAGGAGGCAAAGAGAUGGAUACGCCAGUAUUCAAGGAGCCGCUGUUGGGAUACUACCCCUGUUGUAUUGGAUUUCUAACCGGACGACGUAGAGCCGUUGACGGGACAGUGUCAGUCGGGCAGUUUGACUGGGGCGGUCGCCUCCCAAAGAGUAACGGAGGCGCCCAAAGAUACCCUCAGCUUGGAUGGAAACCAAGCGCAGAGUGCAAAGGCAAAAGGGUGUUUGACUGCGAGACCUACAAGUCGAGCAGGGACGAAAGUCGG